rnacentral:rRNA from 1 species
GACGAACGCUGGCGGCGUGCCUAAUACAUGCAAGUCGAACGAACCGCGACUAGGUGCUUGCACUUGGUCAAGGUGAGUGGCGAACGGGUGAGUAACACGUGGGUAACCUACCUCAUAGUGGGGGAUAACAGUCGGAAACGACUGCUAAUACCGCAUAGGACAUAGGAUCACAUGAUUCUGUGAGGAAAGGUGGCGCAAGCUAUCGCUAAGAGAUGGACCCGCGGUGCAUUAGCUAGUUGGUAGGGUAGAGGCCUACCAAGGCGAUGAUGCAUAGCCGACCUGAGAGGGUGAUCGGCCACAUUGGGACUGAGACACGGCCCAAACUCCUACGGGAGGCAGCAGUAGGGAAUCUUCCGCAAUGGACGCAAGUCUGACGGAGCAACGCCGCGUGAGUGAAGAAGGUCUUCGGAUCGUAAAGCUCUGUUGUUAGAGAAGAACAGCGCAUAGAGUAACUGUUAUGCGUGUGACGGUAUCUAACCAGAAAGCCACGGCUAACUACGUG